rnacentral:rRNA from 1 species
AACGAACGCUGGCGGCAUGCCUAACACAUGCAAGUCGAACGAGACCUCCGGGCCUAGUGGCGCACGGGUGCGUAACGCGUGGGAACCUGCCCUUAGGUUCGGAAUCACUCCCCGAAAGGGGUGCUAAUACCGGAUAAUGUCUUCGGACCAAAGCUUUAUCGCCUUUGGAUGGGCCCGCGUUGGAUUAGCUAGUUGGUAGGGUACAAGCCUACCCAGGCGACGAUCCAUAGCUGGUCUGAGAGGAUGAUCAGCCACACUGGGACUGAGACACGGCCCAGACUCCUACGGGAGGCAGCAGUGGGGAAUAUGGGAGAAUGGGCGAUAGCCUGAUCCAGCAAGGCCGCGUGAGUGAUGAAGGCCUUAGGGUUGUAAAGCUCUUUUACCCGGGAUGAUAAUGACAGUACCGGGAGAAUAAGCUCCGGCUAACUCCGUG